rnacentral:rRNA from 1 species
UACGUAGGGUGCGAGCGUUAAUCGGAAUUACUGGGCGUAAAGCGUGCGCAGGCGGUUUUGUAAGCCAGAUGUGAAAUCCCCGGGCUUAACCUGGGAAUGGCAUUUGGGACUGCAAGGCUGGAGUGCGGCAGAGGAGACUGGAAUUCCUGGUGUAGCAGUGAAAUGCGUAGAUAUCUGGAGGAACACCGGUGGCGAAGGCGGCAUCCUGGACCGGUAUUGACGCUGAGGCGCGAAAGCCAGGGGAGCAAACGGG